GGAGGGGGCAGGUAGCCUAGUGGUUAGAGUGGAGGGGCAGCAGGUAGCCUAGUGGUUAGAGUGGAGGGGUGGCAGGUAGCCUAGUGGUUAGAGUGGAGGGGUGCAGGUAGCCUAGUGGUUAGAGAGGAGGGAUGGCAGGUAGCCUCAUGGUUAGAGAGGAGGGGUGGCAGGUAGCCUAGUGGUUAGAGUGGAGGGAGGCAGGCAGCCUUGUGGUUAGAGUGGAGGGGCGGCAGGUAGCCUAGUGGUUAGAGUGGCGGGGCGGCAGGUAGCCUAGUGGUUAGAGUGGAGGGGUGGCAGGUAGUCUAGUGGUUAGAGCGGAGGGGAGGCAGGUAGCCUAGUGGUUAGAGUGGAGGGGCGGCAGGUAGCCUAGUGGUUAGAGUGGAGGGGCGGCAGGUAGCCUAGUGGUUAGAGUGGAGGGGAGGCAGGGAGCCUAGUGGUUAGAGCGGAGGGGAGGCAGGUAGCCUAGUGGUUAGAGUGGAGGGGCGGCAGGUAGCCUAGUGGUUAGAGUGGAGGGGCGGCAGGUAGCCUAGUGGUUAGAGUGGAGGGGAGGCAGGGAGCCUAGUGGUUAGAGUGGAGGGGCGGCAGGUAGCCUAGUGGUUAGAGUGGCGGGGCGGCAGGUAGCCUAGUGGUUAGAGUGGAGGGGCGGCAGGUAGCCUAGUGGUUAGAGUGGAGGGGCGGCAGGUAGCCUAGUGGUUAGAGUGGAGGGGAGGCAGGGAGCCUAGUGGUUAGAGUGGAGUGGCGGCAGGUAGCCUUGUGGUUGGGCCAGUAACCGAAAGGUUUCUGGAUUGAAUCCCCGAGCUGACAAGGUAAAAAUCUGUCGUUC
ensembl:lncRNA